ensembl:processed_transcript C530005A16Rik RIKEN cDNA C530005A16 gene
ACUCCUACCAAAGCUGGGCCGGCAACUCACCGAGGCUGAAGCUGGAGCGCCUGGAAAUGCGCACCUAGCGUUUGCAGUGCUCCCCGGGUCCGGUUGGCCUCUUCCUUGAGUUCUCUGAGCUCGCGCUCCAAGUCGAAUGGGCGGGGUAAUCCUCCCUUGGGUCCCGCCACGCUGUGGAGGCGCCGUUUUAAUUCUGAGGGACAAAUGGGCAGAGUCAGGGUGAGUCCGAGCACAGCGACAGGGCCGAGUCCUUACCUCUCACCUUCGCCGCGACGCUCCAGCGCCCGGCUCUGUGCUUCUGUUUCUGCCAUGCGUCUGGCGCGGGUUCCCUGCAAGACUCGCAGCCUCUCCCCAGGGCUCCCUGCAGUCUGGGAAGUGAGACCCUCAGUCGCUCGGGGACCUAUUUUCUGUAGGGACAGCAACUGCACCUGCAAAUAACUCGGACCCGCUAUUUCUGUACUGGGUGAUUUCCAGCAUGUAAAUCUCUACACAUGUAAAGUUGAAGUUUGUAGUCAUGAUUGGUGUGUACCUCCUCUGUCAGCCUCUUUAGAGCAGAUGUGCUGGCUUCCUGAUCACGGCUCUUUUCUUGUGCCAUGAUCUGGUGGCGGGGAGGCAAAAAACGUAAGAAUAAUGAUUGAUGGAAAACCUACCCCUGGCCACUGGCGGCCCUUACCUUGGUGCCUCGUUUGAUCGCGACUGAAGGCUGUGAUUUAAGUGUUACCUCCGGAGUCAGCCGGCCAAUGCAGAAUCGUUUGGUGUGUGUGGCCAACAGAGCCCAGGAGCGGAAAACCAUAUCACAGGAUUCACAGGAUAAAAGUCCUGAUUCCCCUGAGUAAUCGGCCAUGGAAUGGAAUCUCUUAUAGACACCAGCGUCCUACAGAGGAUGUGACAAAAGAGAAAAGGCGGACUGGACAGAAAAGAGAGAAAAGGGACAAAGAAUAGACCAAGUCUGCUAAAUCGCCAGGUCCUUCAAAUGUAUGUUUAUGUUUGGGGAGGUGCCCUAGCUCCCUGGGCAGCGAGUACAGGCUUAGGCAGGCCUGGGCAAUGUGCCUGGCCACCUUUGGGUGGGGCCCAGGUGUGAAAAUGUCAGUUUGUUCCACCAAUUACAGUGAGUUUGGCCAAGUAUUUAAUUAACUGCGGCUUUGACUUCAUUGCCUAUUUAGCCUCUGAUAGGCAACUGUCAUCUGUACCACAGCUGUUCUCUAAAAUGGACAGAUUUCAAGCUAGAAUUCUCCACUGUAGGGAACAUUUCCGCACAAGGUAAACCUCAUAUUAGCAGUAUGUCUUUGCAUAAACCCAUCUUUUACAGAAUUAACACACCACACAAUGGAAUAGUCUUUCUAAUUCCCAUUCUGGGACAGGAAUGAUCUGAACCUUUCCAGUAAUGAGAACUGGGAGACCCGUUGGGGAGAAUACAAUUUGUCAGAUGGAUACUACUUGUGAGUUAAACGAGCUCUUUCUGCUGGUCAAGUUAUCGUCACCUUUACACAGAUCUGUAAAAGCAACGUUCAUCCUCAUCUCCUAGGCGAAUCUAUGCCUAAAAUGUUUUCAGGCUCUGAGACUAUUGAAUAAACUCACUCUAGCUCUUCCUCAAAGCUGGCUGACUCAACUCAGCUGUUCUGUCUCAAAGUCCUCUCUGAACUGGUUCAAACCGGCUUCUCUUAGCUUCUCAUUGAAGUGCUCUACUUGGUGAAGCUGCCUCUAAACUACACUCAACUGAACUAACUCCAAGAUGGAUUUUCCCUGCACUGCUCUUUUUUUUUUUUUUUUUUAAGAUUUAUUUAUUAUNGCAUCGUCGUCUGACGUCUGGCUGCUGCUCGUUUCCGAGUCUGAGUCCUCACACUCUGCAAUGCAAGUGCUUCUCCACGGGGAGGACAGGCUGCAACUACGGCUUUAGAGUGUGACAGAACCUCCCCUUCCUCUACCAUGGGUAGAGAAAGACCGUUCUGAAGACAACCUUGUUCUCCAUUUUCCUUUGGUUCGGGUGUGUGGCUGCCCUCCAACUGUAAUAAGGAAAGGGAUGGAUGCAACCAACAAUACUGAGGAGAACAGUGUUUUUCAGACUGCACCCUACCCUCUACCUACACAGUUCUUCCCAUUUUAAAACUGAGACCAGCUGUGACAAUAAACUAACUGGGAAAGUCAGAAGAUCCAGAACAUCUAACACCAAGAGGGGGUGGGGUGCACCGAUCCAAAUGCGGCCUGCACAGAAAACCUGAAGAUAUACACAGGAACCAACCAACAUCUUGAGCAUGAUAUGACUACUAGGUAAAGGAACCUAGAACAACCCACAAACCCCUUACAUGGGCUUCCUUAAAAGCACAUUUCUGCUCUGUGGUACACAUUGUUUAGAGAAGGGAACAGCAUGGCGGCACAGGCCUGUCAUCCCAGUACUGAGGUGGCAGAAUCACCAACAUCAAGAAUUCAAUACAGCAG